AAAAGGCGGACGCACCCUGAUCAUCUGUCCUGUGACGGGCUCAGCCAUUGGAUCGCGAAUCUGCGUUCGCGCAUGCGUGGUCCUAGAGCUACGGUGACACUUCGCGUGCGGUGUAGGCGCAUCUUCGCUCUGUUGGCCGUGGCUUUAGUAAGCACACACCUGCCUGCUACUCUGGUUAUCGUGGCGACGGCAGGUCUGGAUUGCCAGACAGGUUUUUCUUUUUACCUCGAGGCUUUCUCUGAAGGGAGUCGGAGCAUUUAAAAGGCGGCCUCAAGGUGGAUUGAGUCGGGGGAGGAUUAGCAGUAUUUGCUUAGGUUGUAAAACCGCGACUUUAUCUAAUAAAUCGCCAUUCAAGGUGCAAAUACAAACUUGGAACAGAGAUAAUCUGCCUCUGAAACCUUCCGUGGGCACAGAAAUUUCUGCAAGGAAAGCAUCAGCAACCAGAAUAAUUUGUUUUCAUCUUACUAAAGAAUCAAACCGUUGUGUAAUCCAGAGGAAGAGCAUCCCUCAUCCUGGCAGCCCUGCUCUACCACAUCUGCCUAUCCAUAGUGAAAGACACCAUAUUUUUAAGAAAAUAUGAAAUGCAGAGAUGAAAACUAUUUUGGAGCAAAUGAUUUUAAAUAAAAAGGUUGCAUACUCAUUUUAAAUGAUUUUAAUUUUCUGAAUAUUAUGUUCCAACUCAAGAUAUUGCACAAUGCUUUAAUAUUACACUUGUUAUUUUUCUCACACUAGUGAGAUUUUGAUAAACAUAGUUGACUUUGGAAGUAACAGAGAAUGUUUUCAUUGGUUAAAUAAUUUCAAUGACCUGUGAGGAACUGAAAGCAAGCUAUUACAUUCAUAUAAAAGAUAAGUACAUAUCCAUAAAUUCACUUGGAUUCAAUGAAAAAUAAUAAACUUCUCGUGUACUUAAUAAAACUUAAAAGGAAACAAAAUUUUAAAUGGUGCAAAAAUAGAAUGUAUUUCUUAAAGUUUUGAAAACACUUAGACCUAAAAGAAUUCUAAGAAUAUCUGGCCACAUUAUAAGCCUCUUAUUUGUAAAAGCUAACACUUGAUAAUUUUAAAACAAAAUCUAGAUUAAAUAAAUAUAGUUCUGCAUUAUUAAAGUAACAAAAUCUGUGAUGGUAAGGUAAAAUUUCCCUAAAUAAUAUAAACAAAAAACAACACCGGAAAGCAAAUGUAUCACGUUAUGGCAUCGAUAAACAUUUCUGUUCAAAUGUGUGGAUCUACAGCAUUUUCUCUAGGUAACACACACAGUUGUUAUCACAUUAGUAUGGAAUAAAUGCUGAAAAAUUAAGAAAUACUAAUGGUUACUAGGCCAAAGUCAAUUCCAAAAAACUCAAUUCUUAUAAACUUUUAUUAUAGUGAUUUUUACUGUAUUACAACACUUUUUUUCUCUUUUUCCUUUGCUUUGUGAUUCAUAUUUUUAGCAGAGGCAUAGCACUGGAGAUAAAGAAGGGGAAAUAUGCUUCAGGUGCCAGUUGCGUUUUUUAACUUCCAUUUUGCACUUUUGCUAUUUUUAGACUUGUUGCUCAUCAGAUUCAUUAACACACCCUACUUUUGCUAUGUUUUUUUCCUUCAUUUCCAGGAAAACUCAACCACAGCAUUAGGAGAAAAGGCAAAAACUUCACAUUGCCUGAUACACCACUUAUUCUUGCUCUGCCACUGAUUUGUAGUAGCUGUGUAUUACUGCAGUAGCGCUGUUGUCUCUAUUAAUGCUUAGAGAUUCCACACCAUGAAUUUUUUUAUGGUCAUCCUAAGAUACAAUGAAUUCUUCACAUUUUGUGAAAAUUAUAGGCAUCUGACAGCUGGUGUAUUUAUCUACCAUCUUCAUCAAACUCGAAUAUUUUAUAAAAUACUUGAGAAAAGAUCUCUACCAAAGAUACCCUCAUGAAACACUCUCUUAUCAAAAAGAAAAGGGUAAAAUUAUGGAUUAGUUCAAUUGUACCUUGAACUAGAAACACUGAUUAUGAUUAUAUUUCAGAAAACAGUUAUAAUUAUUUCAUUAAAAAUGAUUCCCAUUUAGAAUGAUGACUGGAGACUUAUUUACAAGAAAAGAUAGAGAAAUUUUAUGAGCCUAGGAUUGUGCCAGGAUUGCCUGUGAGGGCAGUUUUUUCAAUUGCAUAUGCAUGUUGAGAUGGGACUAUUUAUGAUCUUAUUUCCUUAUUCAUUAGAGAAGGAGAUGACCAGUGUUUUCUGGGGGUUUUUUGGUUAAUUUUGCAUAUUCUCUUAUUUCAAAAUUAAUCUAAUUAAUUUUAUUCAUGUGUCACUCAGAUUGCAUUUGGGUUUAAACAGAGGACUUAAUCAUAGCAUGGACAGAAAAGGCUCACCAUCUAUCUAAAUGACUCUGAUUGCACCAUCAUCCUCAUUGUUCUUGUGGAGUCUCGCUCUGUCGCCCAGGCUGGGGUGGAGUGACGCGAUCUCGGCUCACCGCAAGCUCCGCCUCCCGGGUUCACGCCAUUCUCCUGUCUCAGCCUCCCCAGUAGCUGGGACUACAGGCGUCCACCACCACGCCCGGCUAAUUUUUUGUACUUUUAGUAGAGACGGGUUUCACCGUGUCAGCCAGGAUGGUCUCGAUCUCCUGACCUCGUGAUCUGCCCGCCUCAGCCUCCC
rnacentral:lncRNA from 10 species